CCCGAAGGAGGUCACUUGCAGUUUCACAAAUGGCUGAGGGGUGUGGGACUGUGUGUGUAUGUUUGUAUGUAUACACAUGGAGAAAGAAACAUCCAAGCAAACCAGAGGGAGAGAAAGAGAGGUGGAGGCUGCAGAAGUGGCAUUCUGUCCUGUGUAUUUGGAACAUAGUGACUGAAGAGAACAAAGUUAUCCAGUUCUGGCUGACACUAAAGGGAAAAUCUCUUCUCAGAAGGCGUAGCAGAGAUCUCAGGAGGAAGCCUGUUGUCCUUAUUCUUCCAACUAAGCUCUGUAGUUGGAGGAACUCUGGAUGACUUCAGAAAGUACAGUAACUUUCAGGUGCUUAUCUGGUUUUCUUACAAACUGUAAAUUCUCUGCAUUUGCCCACUUACUCCAAUUCUCCCCCCAAAAUACCUGCAUUUAUCCUGACCAGCAUGCUAUCUUCAUUCAACGCAUUUGUUAUAUAUCCUGAGUUUAAGAAGUAGAAUUCAAUAUUGUGUCAUUAUUAGCAAUAUUUGGUUCUGCCAUGAUUAAUUUUGCCUUUGAAAAACCUUUAGAAAUAUAUUUUGUUUGGACUCUAAAUGUACUUAUUUUGCUGCUAAUGUAGCAGGUGUUAUUCUUAACCAUUUUUUUGAGAAAUCUUAAAUUUAGAGGAAAUGAGCACUCGAUUAUUUAAAUUUCCUGAGAUUAGAGGAAGAACACUUUGCCAAACAAUGCCUCUUCACUUCAAAACCUCUCCCCAUAAAUUACGUUAGGAGAUCUUAUUAAAAGUCUGUAAAAAUUUCCUAUUAAAAAUGGUUGAUUGCAGUCCAGACCAUCACAGCUUUUGUGCUUUCAGUGAAAUACCACAGCUGUCGCAAAGAAAUAUAUUGUGAGACAAAAGGUUUUGUUUCCUUAGUCAUAAAUUAUUUUGGUGAUGCCUGAAGUAAGAUAAAACUUUCACUUAUGUUUGAGUGAAGGAAGAUUUCCAGUGAUAACUUGUUCAAAAAUCUAUAAAAAGAAUAUAAGAAUGUAGAUCUAGAUAGCAAAUUAGAAUCAGACUUCCUUUUGUUUAAGGAAAGCAAUUAUUUCUGAAGUCAGUGAAGAUUAUAACCAGGGAUAAUAGCAUAACUUUGCAAAGCACAGUGCCUUUAUCUCAGUACAACCUGAAGUUUAAGCUUUCAAGUCUGACCUUUGAGAACUAUUUAAUAGAAUCCUUCAGUGUUGGCUAGUUUUUAAACUAAAGUAAAACAAUUGUAAGUAGUCUGUUUACUAAUUAUACUCACAAAAAAAUAAACCUUUUUUUAGAUUUUAAAAAAUAAUUAAACCAAUUUGGCUUUGACCAUAUUUUCUAUUGGCAAAUGUGUUUUCUGCUAAGGCAUUCUUCAGAAACAGCAGCCUUUUAGAGGAAGAAGGGCUCUAUGUACACCAAAUAGACUGUGAAGUAUUUGCUGUCAGUACUGAUUCUGUGUUCACCUUAUCAAGGAGUAGAAGUGUAUUCCACAUAUGACCUGUGUAUAUAAUGAAAAUAUAAAAUUACAGAGUAUAUACUAAAGAUUAUUUUCAAAAUCAGUUGCCAAAUGAUUUUGAAUAAAAGGUAAAUUAGGUUUUUUGCCAUUUGCUCAUACAUUACUGCUGUCUACAUAAUGGUCACAUUUUCCAGCCUCCUUCCCUGCUAAUUACAGAGAUUACUGAAUAAAGAAAGAUAGUACAGGACAGUACUCAGAAUUUGAGAGAUAUUUGGGGUUGUGUCUGCAAAAAUACAUAUGCUUUUUCUGACUAUCAAUAGUAUUUAUAACUAAGCCAGUUCUUUUUACCCAGCGCCAUCACAAGAUUUUACUGUAAUUUCUUUAUGUAUAUAUUUAAAUCAGGAGUGUACAAAACAAAAAUGCAAGAUGGUCUUCCUUUCUGCUAUUUAAUCCAGAGAAAUAGAGUAUGCCAUCUUGAGCCUUUAAUAAGACCCAUUACUGUAGCCCACUUUUUUUUUCCUUCUGAGUGAUUUUUCUUAUAAAUCAA